rnacentral:tRNA from 1 species
UGGGUGCGUAGCUCAGCCCGGUCAGAGUACCUGACUCUUAAUCAGGGUGUCAGGGGUUCAAAUCCCCUCGCGCCCAU